rnacentral:rRNA from 1 species
AACGAACGCUGGCGGCAUGCCUAACACAUGCAAGUCGAACGAACCCUUCGGGGUUAGUGGCGCACGGGUGCGUAACGCGUGGGAAUCUGCCCUUUGCUUCGGAAUAACAGUUAGAAAUGACUGCUAAUACCGGAUGAUGUCUUCGGACCAAAGAUUUAUCGGCAAGGGAUGAGCCCGCGUAGGAUUAGGUAGUUGGUGGGGUAAAGGCCUACCAAGCCGACGAUCCUUAGCUGGUCUGAGAGGAUGAUCAGCCACACUGGGACUGAGACACGGCCCAGACUCCUACGGGAGGCAGCAGUGGGGAAUAUUGGACAAUGAGCGCAAGCCUGAUCCAGCAAUGCCGCGUGAGUGAUGAAGGCCUUCGGGUCGUAAAGCUCUUUUACCAGGGAUGAUAAUGACAGUACCUGGAGAAUAAGCUCCGGCUAACUCCGUGCCAGCCGCCGCCGCAAAAC